NNNAAGGUCUAACCUGCCCAAUGAGGAUUUAAAUGGCCGCAGUAUUUUGACUGUGCAAAGGUAGCAUAAUUAUUAGUUUUUUAAUUGAAAGCUUGUAUGAAGGGUUGGACGAGAUAAAAUCUGUCUUUAUUUAAAUUAAAGUAUAAUUUAACUUUUAAGUCAAAAGGCUUAAAUGUUUAUAAAAGACGAGAAGACCCUAUAGAUCUUUAUUUAGUUAAGAUUUUAAUAAUUUAGGAUUAUUUUAAUUUGGAGUCUUAAUUGAAUUUUAUUGGGGUAAUAUAAAGAUUAAAUGAAUUCUUUUUAUUUAUGACAUUAAUUUAUGAAUAUAUGAUCCAUUAAUAUUGAUUAUAAGAUUAAGUUACCUUAGGGAUAACAGCGUAAUUUUUUUGGAGAGCUCAUAUCGAUAAGAAAGUUUGCGACCUCGAUGUUGGAUUAAAAAUUAGCUUGGGUGCAGAAGCUCAAGAUUUUGGUCUGUUCGACCAUUAAAUUUUUACAUGAUCUGAGUUCAGACCGGCGUAAGCCAGGUCGGUUUUUAUCUUUAUUUAGAUAAAAUAUUUUAGUACGAAAGGACCAAGUAUUUAAUAUAAUUAUAUUUAUUUUUUGAAGAAUAUU
rnacentral:rRNA from 1 species